rnacentral:lncRNA from 1 species
AUGAGUUUGUGUGAAAAUAAAUCGGAGUUCUUAAGCCUGGAAGUGUCUAACAACCGAGACCAGAAUAUCAGCCCCAGUGCCAGACAAAAAAGAGGAUGGCCCAGCAGGCAGAUGCCUUCACUAGAUACUUUUGAGGACUUUGAAGUCAUCCCAUCCAGUGCGGAGGAGCUUUCUAACUCUUCAGAUAUGGAGGAGGAAAACCAGUCUAAUAAUGGGUCCAAUCUCUACCAGGUAGAAGGCCAUUAUGACACCUGUUUCUCAGAAUCCCUUACGCUAGAAGAUGGGGAUUUAGUGCAGUUGAUACAGGAAGGUGAAGACGGACAAUGGUUAGUGAAGAAACUGGUUUCUGAGAAAACGGACUGGGUUCCUUCCAGCCUGCUUCAGCCAGCAGAAGGGGAUGCCAUAUACAUCUUCAGGAUCAGCAAUGCAGGUAGCAGUGAGUCUGAAAAGUGUUUUGCUUCCGGUUUUAGAACAAGAUCAUUAAAAUUGGAAGAGACCCUAAGGGCCAUUCAUCCAACCCCAAGUUAUUCAGGGACACACUAUCAAAGCACUCCCGACAAAUGGCCACCCCGCCUGUUGUAG